GCGGUUGUGACGUAAUUGGUAGCCGUCUCAGACUUAGAAUCUGAGGUCUAAAAGGCGUGAGGGUUCGAGUCCCUCCAACCGCA
rnacentral:tRNA from 1 species